UAGGAAAGACAUCACUCGCAGAAGAAGCACCGGCUAACUCCGUGCCAGCAGCCGCGGUAAUACGGAGGGUGCAAGCGUUAAUCGGAAUUACUGGGCGUAAAGCGCGCGUAGGUGGCUUGAUAAGCCGGUUGUGAAAGCCCCGGGCUCAACCUGGGAACGGCAUCCGGAACUGUCAAGCUAGAGUGCAGGAGAGGAAGGUAGAAUUCCCGGUGUAGCGGUGAAAUGCGUAGAGAUCGGGAGGAAUACCAGUGGCGAAGGCGGCCUUCUGGACUGACACUGACACUGAGGUGCGAAAGCGUGGGUAGCAAACAGGAUUAGAUACCCUGGUAGUCCACGCCGUAAACGAUGUCGACCAGCCGUUGGGUGCCUAGCGCACUUUGUGGCGAAGUUAACGCGAUAAGUCGACCGCCUGGGGAGUACGGCCGCAAGGUUAAAACUCAAAUGAAUUGACGGGGGCCCGCACAAGCGGUGGAGCAUGUGGUUUAAUUCGAUGCAACGCGAAGAACCUUACCUACUCUUGACAUCCUGCGAAUUUGGUAGAGAUACCUUAGUGCCUUCGGGAACGCAGAGACAGGUGCUGCAUGGCUGUCGUCAGCUCGUGUUGUGAAAUGUUGGGUUAAGUCCCGUAACGAGCGCAACCCUUGUCCUUAUUUGCCAGCGCGUAAUGGCGGGAACUCUAAGGAGACUGCCGGUGACAAACCGGAGGAAGGUGGGGACGACGUCAAGUCAUCAUGGCCCUUACGAGUAGGGCUACACACGUGCUACAAUGGUCGGUACAAAGGGUUGCCAACUCGCGAGAGUGAGCCAAUCCCGAAAAGCCGAUCUCAGUCCGGAUCGGAGUCUGCAACUCGACUCCGUGAAGUCGGAAUCGCUAGUAAUCGUGGAUCAGAAUGCCACGGUGAAUACGUUCCCGGGCCUUGUACACACCGCCCGUCACACCAUGGGAGUGGACUGCACCAGAAGUGGUUAGCCUAACGCAAGAGGGCGAUCACCACGGUGUGGUUCAUGACUGGGGUGAAGUCGUAACAAGGUAGCCGUAGGGGAACCUGCGGCUGGAUCACCUCCUUA
rnacentral:rRNA from 1 species